rnacentral:rRNA from 1 species
GACGAACUUUGGCGGCGUGCUUAACACAUGCAAGUCGAACGGAAAGGCCCUGCUUUUGUGGGGUGCUCGAGUGGCGAACGGGUGAGUAACACGUGAGUAACCUGCCCUUGACUUUGGGAUAACUUCAGGAAACUGGGGCUAAUACCGGAUAGGAGCUCCUGCUGCAUGGUGGGGGUUGGAAAGUUUCGGCGGUUGGGGAUGGACUCGCGGCUUAUCAGCUUGUUGGUGGGGUAGUGGCUUACCAAGGCUUUGACGGGUAGCCGGCCUGAGAGGGUGACCGGCCACAUUGGGACUGAGAUACGGCCCAGACUCCUACGGGAGGCAGCAGUGGGGAAUAUUGCACAAUGGGCGGAAGCCUGAUGCAGCAACGCCGCGUGCGGGAUGACGGCCUUCGGGUUGUAAACCGCUUUCGCCUGUGACGAAGCGUGAGUGACGGUAAUGGGUAAAGAAGCACCGGCUAACUACGUGCCAGCAGCCGCGGUGAUACGUAGGGUGCGAGCGUUGUCCGGAUUUAUUGGGCGUAAAGGGCUCGUAGGUGGUUGAUCGCGUCGGAAGUGUAAUCUUGGGGCUUAACCCUGAGCGUGCUUUCGAUACGGGUUGACUUGAGGACUUAGGGGAGAAUGGAAUUCCUGGUGGAGCGGUGGAAUGCGCAGAUAUCAGGAGGAACACCAGUGGCGAAGGCGGUUCUCUGGGCCUUUCCUGACGCUGAGGAGCGAAAGCGUGGGGAGCGAACAGGCUUAGAUACCCUGGUAGUCCACGCUGUAAACGGUGGGUACUAGGUGUGGGGUCCAUUCCACGGGUUCCGUGCCGUAGCUAACGCUUUAAGUACCCCGCCUGGGGAGUACGGCCGCAAGGCUAAAACUCAAAGGAAUUGACGGGGCCCCGCACAAGCGGCGGAGCAUGCGGAUUAAUUCGAUGCAACGCGUAGAACCUUACCUGGGUUUGACAUGGAUCGGGAGUGCUCAGAGAUGGGUGUGCCUCUUUUGGGGUCGGUUCACAGGUGGUGCAUGGCUGUCGUCAGCUCGUGUCGUGAGAUGUUGGGUUAAGUCCCGCAACGAGCGCAACCCUUGUUCACUGUUGCCAGCACGUUACGGUGGGGACUCAGUGGAGACCGCCGGGGUCAACUCGGAGGAAGGUGGGGAUGACGUCAAGUCAUCAUGCCCCUUAUGUCCAGGGCUUCACGCAUGCUACAAUGGCUGGUACAGAGAGUGGCGAGCCUGUGAGGGUGAGCGAAUCUCGGAAAGCCGGUCUCAGUUCGGAUUGGGGUCUGCAACUCGACCUCAUGAAGUCGGAGUCGCUAGUAAUCGCAGAUCAGCAACGCUGCGGUGAAUACGUUCCCGGGGCU